rnacentral:rRNA from 1 species
AAAUUGAAGAGUUUGAUCAUGGCUCAGAUUGAACGCUGGCGGCAGGCCUAACACAUGCAAGUCGAACGGUAACAGGAAGAAGCUUGCUUCUUUGCUGACGAGUGGCGG